AUUGAACGCUGGCGGCAUGCCUUACACAUGCAAGUCGAACGGCAGCACGGGGCAACCUGGUGGCGAGUGGCGAACGGGUGAGUAAUGCAUCGGAACGUACCUUUCAGUGGGGGAUAACGUAGCGAAAGUUACGCUAAUACCGCAUAUUCUGUGAGCAGGAAAGCAGGGGAUCGCAAGACCUUGCGCUGAUUGAGCGGCCGAUGUCAGAUUAGCUAGUUGGUGAGGUAAAGGCUCACCAAGGCGACGAUCUGUAGCGGGUCUGAGAGGACGAUCCGCCACACUGGAACUGGGACACGGUCCAGACUCCUACGGGAGGCAGCAGUGGGGAAUUUUGGACAAUGGGGGCAACCCUGAUCCAGCCAUGCCGCGUGAGUGAAGAAGGCCUUCGGGUUGUAAAGCUCUUUCGGCCCGGAAGAAAUCGCACGGGCUAAUACCCUGUGUGGAUGACGGUACCGGAAUAAGAAGCACCGGCUAACUACGUGCCAGCAGCCGCCGUAAGAC
rnacentral:rRNA from 1 species